rnacentral:lncRNA from 1 species
UACGAAUUUCCAUCUCUCCAUCAUUAUUUCAACAACGUUCCAGUAACACAUAGCAUUACUUACUACCAGGACUCAGUUCACUUUGGUUGGAAUGUCUUCCCUGGGCUGAUUUUUCUUAUGUUAAAAAUUAGUUUUGAGCUUUGACCUUUGUCAACCAUGAUUCAGAUAUCAGCCUGACCUUUAGAAAGUCUGCAAAAAGUAGUUGCCCAAUACUGGAAACCAGACAGGCGAUCACUCAGCUCUGCCUAAGAUGUGGUGGAAAUUCCUGUGGUGAAACCUUUGUAGUCUGAAAACUGAGGGUUUCGUGUGGCCUUAGGAUGCCAUUUGGCUGCUGAUUCUUUUGGGAACUAUAUGAGUCACUGCCCUGAUAGGACAUUUUAAGCACUUAGCAAAUAAUUGGCACAUAAUGAUAAAGUGAAUUUAUGUAUCAUUAUUGUUGCUUACCUCUGCUUGAUUUCAAGGUGAGGAAGAUUUAGUGGGAAAACAGCAUAGAAUGCAAGAGGAGUGGUUUUGUACAGCAACAUCCAAAACUUCAUUGGGAUAGAACACGUGUGGAAUCCACAACAAGUUUGCCAUAAGCAGAAUUGCUCUGAAUUUUAGGGAUUUUAGGUUAAGUAUGGAAGAUGAGAAGAUAUGAACUACUCAAAUGAGGUCUAAGAAAAUCUUGACAUUCUAGAUGAAGCAGAGACAGAGGAUGAGAGAGAGAGGUGAAUGGGGUAAUAUAACAGAAAUCUGCAUAAAGUAGAGAAAGAGGAAAAAAGAUGAUAUUGAUUAACUCCACUGAGAAUCAAAGGAAGUGGGAUGGUGAUCAGGAAAAGUUUCACAGAAGAGAUGCCACUAAGAGAGAGAGAAAAAGAUAAGAUUUGGACCUACAUUAGCAGAAUCAUCUUUGGUGGAAGCUUUGAAACAGACUAUGCUAUCACCUGAAUCACCUACUGUGGACUGGAGUCAUGCCAGUACUUAGAAGGAAGCACAGCAAGAGAAAAUUCACAGCAUCAUUUGCAUCUCUGAAUCCAACCAGUGCUGAAAAUUUCUCUACCCCUGAACUUUCAAGAAAAAAGGGCUAAUAAAUCCUCUUAUUUCAGCUAGCUUGGAUUGGGU